UGGUCCUGAUCUGUUGGGAUUUGCUGC
rnacentral:piRNA from 1 species